UAAUUGGCUAUGAAGAGAACGAGUAAUUAAGCUGUAUUAUUUCCAGAGAGCUCUUGGUUGGUGUGAAAGAGCAAUAAUCGUCUUAAUGAAAAAAGCCUCCGAGCUUUGUACGGAUGCGAGGGGAACCUUGCUGAUACUACAACGGGAUCUCUCGUUACAGAGAUAGGGUAUAUGCGAGUAAUUAUUUUUCAUUGCCGUACCUGAAGAGGUUGGCAUGGCGACAUGUUAACAAACUGAGGUGGUACCGCGAAUGCUUAUAAGCUCUCGUCCUCAAG
rnacentral:ncRNA from 1 species